GGUACUUGUACCUGGUGGCGAGUGGCGAACGGGUGAGAUAAUACAUCGGAACGUACCUUAUCGUGGGGGAUAACGCAGCGAAAGCUGUGCUAAUACCGCAUACGCCCUGAGGGGGAAAGCGGGGGAUCGAAAGACCUCGCGCGAUUAGAGCGGCCGAUGCCUGAUUAGCUUGUUGGUGGGGUAAAAGCCCACCAAGGCGACGAUCAGUAGCUGGUCUGAGAGGACGAUCAGCCACACUGGGACUGAGACACGGCCCAGACUCCUACGGGAGGCAGCAGUGGGGAAUUUUGGACAAUGGGGGCAACCCUGAUCCAGCAAUGCCGCGUGAGUGAAGAAGGCCUUCGGGUUGUAAAGCUCUUUUGUCAGGGAAGAAACACCGGCUCUAACACAGUCCGGGAAUGACGGUACCUGAAGAAUAAGCACCGGCUAACUACGUGCCAGCAGCCGCGGUAAUACGUAGGGUGCAAGCGUUAAUCGGAAUUACUGGGCGUAAAGCGUGCGCAGGCGGUUAUACAAGACAGGCGUGA
rnacentral:rRNA from 1 species